UGCUUCAGAACGAACGCNGGCGGCGUGCCUAACACAUGCAAGUCGAGCGCGAAAGGAGCAAUCCGAGUAGAGCGGCGCACGGGUGCGUAACACGUGGAUAAUCUGCCCUUGAGUUUGGGAUAACCAUUCGAAAGUUUGGCUAAUACCAAAUAAGCUCACGGAGGCUUCGGCCUUUGGGAGAAAAGUAGCCCACUAUUUAUAAGGUUACACUCAUGGAUGAGUCCGCGGCCCAUCAGCUAGUUGGCGGGGUAAUGGCCCACCAAGGCAACGACGGGUAGCUGGUCUGAGAGGACGAUCAGCCACACUGGAACUGAGACACGGUCCAGACUCCUACGGGAGGCAGCAGUGGGGAAUUUUCCACAAUGGGCGAAAGCCUGAUGGAGCAACGCCGCGUGUGUGAUGAAGGUCUUCGGAUCGUAAAGCACUUUCGACCGGGACGAAAAACUGCUGGCUAAUAUCCAGCAGCCUGACGGUACCGGGAGAAGAAGCACCGGCUAACUCUGUGCCAGCAGCCGCGGUAAUACAGAGGGUGCAAGCGUUGUUCGGAAUUAUUGGGCGUAAAGCGCGUGUAGGCGGCUUAUCAAGUCAGAUGUGAAAGCCCUCGGUUUAACCGAGGAAGUGCGUCUGAAACUGAUGAGCUUGAGUACCGGAGAGGGUAGCGGAAUUCCGCAAGUAGAGGUGAAAUUCGUAGAGAUGCGGAGGAACACCGGUGGUGAAGGCGGCUACCUGGACGGUCACUGACGCUGAGACGCGAAAGCGUGGGGAGUAAACAGGAUUAGAUACCCUGGUAGUCCACGCUGUAAACGAUGAGAACUAGGUGUCGUGGGUGUUGACCCCCGCGGUGCCGCAGCUAACGCAUUAAGUUCUCCGCCUGGGAAGUACGGCCGCAAGGCUAAAACU
rnacentral:rRNA from 1 species